AGUUAGAGACAGAGAGAAAGGUCUUCCUUCUGUUGGUUCACCCUCCAAAUGGCUGCUAUGGCCGUUGCGCUGCGCCCAUCCGAAGCCAGGAGCUAGGUGCUUCCUCCUGGUCUCCCAUGCUGGUGCAGGGCCCAAGCACUUGGGCCAUCCUCCACUGCACUCCCGGGCCACAGCAGAGAGCUGGACUGGAAGAGAAGCAACUGGGACUAGAACCUGGGGUGCCAGUGCCGCAGGCAGAGGAUUAGCCUAGUGAGCCGUGGUGCCAGCCUUUUUUUUUUUUUUUUUUCUUUUUUUUUUUUUAGAUUUAUUUAUUUGAAAGUAGGGUUAUACAGAGGAGAGGCAGAGGUCUUCCAUCUGCUGGCUCACUCCCCAAUUGGCCACAAUGGCCAGAGCUGCACCUAUCCAAAGGCAGGAGCUUCUGGGUCUUCCAUGCAGGUGCAGGAGCCCAAGGACCUGGGCCAUCUUCCACUGCUUUCCCAGGCCAUAGCAGAGAGCUGGAUAGGAAGUGGAGCAGCUGGGAUGCCAGCACUGCAGGCAGUGGCUUUUACCUGCUAUGCCACUGUGCCAGCCCCUCUUAGUGUUCUUAAAGGAGGGUUGGAGAGGAAAUAAAGCAGUAGAUGAAUGGCAGGAAAUAAAAAAUGGAGUGAUAAGAGAGAAGGGCACAGAGCCAGAAUACCCUGCAGCAGUGGUCCUCAAAGCCAGCUUCAAGUCUGCAGCAACAGCAUCACCUGAGAACUUGUUUGAAAUGCAAAUUAUGGGACCCUACUUUAGGUUUUCUGAAUUGGAAAUUGUAGUGAGAGUCUGGCAAUUUACUUCAGCAUGCUCUGACAUGAUUCUGAUGCCCACUAAAGUUUGAGGACUACUGCCCUAUAUGUGCACAGAUAAAUUCCAGGUGAAGAUUCCCACCAGCACAUCUGCCUGGCAGGCCCUCCUAGGUGUGGUAAAAACCAGCCGUUUGCUUUCUCUGCUGCCUUGUUUCCUCUGCCCUUGGUCCCUCACAGCCAUGCUGUCAAUAUUAGGAAAGUUAGCACCAACCCCUGCAGGAUUGCACAGAGAGGAGGCAGAGGCAGCUAAAUCCCACCUUUCCUUGCCCAGGUUGCAGUCCUCAUAGGGCUGUAUUACAAAGAAACAGCAGUCAGCCAAGCCUCCUACCCUCAGAUACCUAAUGGUCAAACAUUGCCCCCUUGUGGUAUAAUAGAGUGGCUUCAGCUUUCUGGCCUAAACUCUCAAAUAUAUUUUAUUCUCUUCACACAAUUACCAUACUUAUUAAUUAAGCAGGGCCUGCUAGAGGGUAGGCUGGAACUAUUGUGGGCUUUGCUUGUUAACUAAAUCCUUACUCAGUAAGGCCCAGUGAAUAGAACGUAUUAUUGGACCUUCCAUAGACUGCUUAGAUAUCAACGAUAUGUUCUUCCUUGCUAUUGGUUGGAGAAAAUCUAUGUACAGGUUGUCUUUGGCUCUUUGAUCUUUACAUAGUAAAUUUUUAAAAAGGUAGCAAGCUGUAAAUUGUGAAUCAGAUUUUACUUCCUGAAUUAGGUCUUUAUUUUUUUUUAAGAUUUAUUUUAUUUGAAAGAGCUACAGAGAAAGAGGGAGAGAUAGAGUGAGAGAUCUUCCAUCUCUGCUGGUUCACUCCCAGUUGGCCACAAUAGCCAGGGCUGAACUAGAUUGAAGCCAGGAGCUUUGUCUGGGUCUCUGACGUGGCUGCAGGUACCCAGACACUUGGGCCAUUGGCAGGGAGCUGGAUCACAAGUGGAGCAGGACACGAACCAGUGCCCAUGUGGGAUGCCAACAGUACAGGCAGCUGCUUUACUCACUGCCAUGAUGACAGCCCCUAAGUUUGGUCUUGUAAUGCAUCACUUCUGAAUGAUUUUGAGCCAUGAUAUGGUGUUGCCUCCUGCCAGAGAGAAGGGCAUGUUUGUGUUAGCAGCAUCAGGCCUGUUGCUUGGCAUUAAUCCGGUUGGGCUAAAAUUGCUUCUGAGCCCCCUCAUCCUAAUCUCUAGUCCCUGGCCUGAGUUUAGAAGAAGGGUGGUUUGGUAUUUACCCAGCUACAGGGUAAUAGAGAACAACCACCCGCUGAAGUGCCUCUGGCAGGUCUGUUCCAAUCAUAAUGUGAGGAUUUUUCUUAUAGUAGCCUGGAAACAAGUACCCAUUUAAAACCAGGGUUCUAGGGGCCAGCACUGUGGCAUAGUGGGUAAAGCCACCACCUGCAGUGCCAGCAUUCCAUAUAGGCGCUGGUUCUAGUCCUGGCUGCUCCACUUCCGAACCAGCUCUCUGCUAUGGCCUGGGAAAGCAGUAGAAGAUGGCCCAAGUCCUUGGGCCCCUGCACUGGCUUGGGAGACCCAGAAGAAGCUCCUGGCUCCUGGCUUUGGAUUGGUAGAGCUCAGGCGACCAUCUGGGGAGUGAACCGAUGGAUGGAAGACCUCUCUGCCUCUCCUCUCUGUGCAACUCAGACUUUCAAAAUAAAUAAAUAAAACUUUUUAAAAAGUUUAUACAUUAACUAGAAAUACUAAGGAAUAAACUCAUUGUACACACUACCAAGGUCAAGAAAUAAUGGAGGGCUGGGGCCAGCACUGUGAUGUAGCAGGUAAUGCUGCCACCUACAGUGCCGGCAUCCCAUAUGGGCACCAAUUUGAGUCCUGGCUGCUCCACUUUUGAUCCAGCUCUCUCUCUGCUUUGGCCUGGGGAAGCAGUAGAGGAUGGCCCAGGUACUUGGGCCUCUGCACCUACAUGGGAGACCAGGAGGACACUCCUGUCUCCUGGCUUCAGAUUGGUACAGCUCAGGCCUUUGCGGCCAUCUGGGAAGUGAACCAGCAGAUGGAAAACUUUCAUUCAUUCUCUCACUCCCUCGCUCUCUAUCUCUCUUUGGCUGCCUCUGCCUCUCUCUAAUUCUGCCUUUCAAAUAAAUAAGUCUUUUUUUAAAAAAGGAAUAAUGGAGUGAUAGGUGAUUGAAGAGAAAGGACAGGAGAGUAUCAGUGCUUUUACUAUGUGCCAGCCACUUUACACAUGCAAAUUUUUACUUAGUCAAAAGGAUAUGAGUUUAGUUGUGUCACUUGCCAUAAACCCUGAAUCUGGUGUGAAACGAAGCUUUAUCACCUACAGGUUUGUGGUUAGGUGGCAAGUGGUUGGCACAUAUCUGGCACGUGGAUUCCAGUGUUAGCAAUGGUAAUGCUCAAUCAUGCCAGCCAGAAAACCCUAUUCUCCACUCCCCCUCACCCUACUGUGACCUGCAUCUUUUUAAUCACUUCUGGUGGUCUCUGAGCAAACACCACAGUCCGGUUCCCAACUACCAUCACAACUCUUCUGGAUAGCCAUUUGACCAUAUCUCUACUACCUUACUGUUGCCUGGCCCCAGUCCAAUCACAUGGUGGCCAGAAUGAUUGCUCUCAAAUGCAGUACUGAUUUUUCACUUUCCUGCUUAAACUGGUAAUUGAUUCCCAUUGUGCUCACGCCACUAGGCAUAGUAACCAAAGUCCCUUGUACCUGAAUCCUACCUUUCUCUCUACCUGUUUAUCCCUUCAAACUCACCUUAGAUCACAACACAUGCUUUCUCCUUCUCUACACCUGUAUAGCAGUUCCCAGUUGGGAAUUUUUUUGUUUAUUUGAAAGCCAGAAUUAGAGAAAGAGAAGGAGAGAGAGAGAUCUCCCAUCUGCUGGUUCACUUCCCAAAUGGUCAUGAGGACAGGGGCAGGGCCAGGCCAAAGCCAGGAGCCAGGAACUCUAUCCAGGUCUCCCACAUGGGUGGCAGGGGCCUAAGCACUCGGGCCAUCUUCCUCUGCUUUCCCAGGCACAAUAGCAGGGAACUGGAUCAAUUUUAUUGCCUAUUUAUCUAUCCUCCAUUACACUUUCAGGUACCUGAGAUGGAAUCUUUUUUUUUUUUUUAACACCAGGGUCUAGUAUAAUGCCCAGCAUUUAAAUGCUUAGUAAAUAUUACUUGAAGACAUAUAUGACAGGGGCUGGCACUGUGAUGUAGAAGGUUAAGACUCUACCUGCAGAGCUGGCAUCCCAUAUGGGCUCCAGUUCGAGUCUGAGUCCCAGAUGCUCUAUUCCAAUCCAGCUCCCUGCUAAUGUGCCUAGAAAAGCAGCAGCAGAUGGCCCAAGUGCUUGGGUCUCUGCACCCACAUGGUAGGCCUGGAAGAAGCCCCAGUUUCCUGGCUUCCACCUGGCCCAGCCCCGCUCAUUGCAGCCAUUUGGGGAGUGAACCAGCAAAUAAAAGAUCUCUCUCUCUCUCUUUCUCUCUGUGUAUGUCUGCCUUUCAAAUAAAUAAAUAAUCUUUUUUAAAAAAAAGAGCUAUAUGAUAAUAGCAAUGAUUUAUUAAGUAUUAUUAUGUACCAAGUGAUGUCUUAAAUACGGCUUAAUGCCUUAAAAACUCUGGCAGGGUGACAGAAAGCAAGCAUGCACUUCUAUCCACUGGUUCACCCCUCAAAUGCCCGCAGUGGCUGGGCCCAGGCCUGGGCCAGAGCUGAAAAUGGGAGCCCAGAGCUCAAUACAGGUUUCCCAAGUGGGUGACAGCCACAAAAUUAGUCGAGCCAUUACCACUGCCUCCCAGGGCCUUCAUCUGGGAGGCAGCUGGCGUCAGCCAGGAAUUGAUACCACAUACUCCAGUGUGGGAUGUGGGAAUCUUAACCACCAGGUCAAGGCCUGUCCCAGGAGCUUAGUUUUCAUUAACUUUGACACGUCUGUGUACAUUUAUGUGGACAAUUAGAUAAACUACUAUGCAUCAGAUCUUAUAAAUACUGUGUUUUUAGCGGUACGCCUCUGUGGGCAGCUUUAAGAGCAUUACCUUCAUUUACCCUCGUCCUUUCAGCAGCCCUAUGAGGUCAAUUUUUUUUUUUGAUAACAGAUCCCAUUUUAUAGAUGAGGAAAUAUUAAGUCCCCUAAUGUCUCACAACCAUUGAGUAGAUUUGGACUACAAAUCCAGGUGGAUUUUAAAGUCUGUUCUCUUAAUCACUGUGGGGAAUCCCACAGGAGUCCCAAAAAUCACAGAUCACCGCUUACCCAUUGAUCAAAAGGAGGUGGACCAUGGAGAAAUCCACUGGUAACCCCUAAAAAGAGUUAUGGUUAUAGCUCACUGCUGUCCACAAAGAAGUAAAAGCAAGAAAUAAAAAUGGAGUUACUUAUGCUAAGCCAGAAAAUGAUGACAUCACUUAUGUCAAGCUCAGGGCUUGCCAGAAAGAUGCUCCUCAUCAGACUGAACAGACAUCCCUGGGCAGCCUGAUAACGAGUGCUACGGACGAUAACCUCAAGUUUCCUUCCUACUCACAUUGUGAGUGACCGCACCCAAGGAAUACUCCAGAUACGCCCUGUCCCCAACAACGGAUGGGUGGCACCCCUGGAAACUCCAAGAGGGAGCACAACUGAUUGGUGACACCCGGACCCCUACUGGAGACUCCCCCUUCAGAGUGGCAAGGAUAAAGGAGAGCCUUUUCCACCGCUCUCGAGGAUCAUGGCCCGAUGUGUGUGAACCUCUGGAUCUCCACACAUCUGGAGCUGAAGAGCCAGCUUGCUAGCACCCUUGCUAAGUGACACAAGGCGAUUACGGGACCAAACUCCAGCGGAGCCGCUGCCUGGCCGCCUCACCUGGACCCGUUAUUGGCCUGCUGCCAGACCAACACCAGACCUCUCAGCAGGGGACCUCUCCAACUCCUUGCCUUGCCCUCUGAACCUACUGCCCAGAGUGACAGCCAUCCCCAAACUUCCUGCCUGUAACUGACUGUCCUGAGAUCCAUCUCUCCGAGUGGUAACGAAGACUUUGGACUCUGGACUUUGGACUUUGACUUUUGGUGACCGUGAUACGACCCUUGAGGACGCAGCACUUAUAAUGAUAUUAGCCGUGUGUAAUAUGAAGGCAUGUGCCUUGACCCUGUGAUUAAGAAUAAUGUUAUGUGCUUAUAUUAUUAUAGUUGGAUUGCCUUUGAGACUGCUAGGUGUGUGUUAUGAUCUGUGGAGUACUGAAUAUAACAAUGUAGAUUGGUAUGCAGAGUGGUCAAGCCCUAGUGUGAAAUUGUGUGGGCAAUAAAAACCUUUCAUUGGAAAGACAA